GAAUCUUGUUUCUUAGCGACAACAAUAAUAUAUCUAAAAUAUAUUCUCGACUAGUCCUACAUAACGCUGUAUUCUAGAGUUCUAUGUUUACUGUAUUCAGAUAUUCCUCCUACGUAUAUUUUCUUGCGUUCAUUCUUCUGGGAGAUUUGCGUUCAGAUAGCGCUUUGUAAGCGCGAACUCAGAUGAUCCACAGAUAAACAAAAGGCUGAAAUGCGCAAAAUACAACAUCUAAAAAUAUUGUUCACAUUUUCAUAAAACUCUUUUGUCCGUUUUUGAAAUACAUCUUAUUUUACUCCAAUAUCUGUAAGUUAAAGUAUCUAAAGUAUAUUCCCCCCUGUAUAUAGUUGUGUUGAGUGCAGACAGUACGGUUACUUCAGGUCUAGGGUUUACAGUGUAUACAGGACGGAUACCGUGUUCACAAAGGAGAAUACUAGAUCCAACUUCCUUCUCGCGCUCAGAGUUAAUAUUUCAUAAAUUCAGUCCAACCGUUGCAAGCACAAUGAGCGGAACUCCGAGCUGGUACUGACCGGAAGUAUAUUUGUGAAACAAGGUUAUUAAAUACACUGUGUACUGUGUACUAGUGUUUUAUGUUUGAAAGUACGGAGCGAGGUCGAGUGAGAACCUCCUUUCAUAUAGUUCUCCCCGCCCUCAUUCUAUAGCUCUAGUUCUCUAGUCCCUCCAGAUCUAGUAUAGUAGUGAGACCUGCUCCGGGAUACAGGAACCAUGGAGGAGCAGCUAGAAGCAGCAAUCCUUCAGAACUUCUGGUUAGUUCAAGCAGAUAAACAUGGUCAGCAUCUUCUAGCCUCACUUCCAACCAUAGCUGGAGCUAAUCCUCACUUGAACCAGGUAGUUGAGGAGGAGGAGGAGGGGGAAGAUGUUUCUAAAAUGGAUUCAGACGAUUCCUCGAACAAUUCCCUUGGGGAGAACACAAACACAGUCUUCCUUCAGCUUCAGCAACUGCAGCAGCUUCAACAGUUCCAGCAGCUGCAACAGUUUCAGCAGAAACAGCUGGGACGGGUCACCCUAAGCAGGAUAUCCAACGAAGUUUCCGUGAUUCAGAAGACCGUGAAGAGAGAAGAACCCAAGAAACAGAAUUUUAUUAUUCUCUCCAAGCAAGAGAAACCGAACCUUGUCGUGGUUAAGGAGGAACCUAUAGAGAAGGAUUCCUAUAGUAAUCUUGGAAUUAAGAUUAAGGAAGAAGGAAAAAAGAGUUCUCCGGUUUCCCCUUUCAAGAGGGAAAGAUCCAGCAGAAUAUUGUGUGAGAACCCUGUCUGCCAGGUGUGUGGGGAGAAGGCUGGGAAACAUAGUUAUUACGGUGGUCAGGUCUGCCCUUCAUGCAGAGCAUUCUUUAGGAGAUCCGUGCAGUCAAGAUGCUAUACUGGAUUCCGUUGUAUAAACCGUAGUGAGAGCUGUCCUAUUAAUCUACUCACUAGGAAGAACUGUCAGUAUUGUAGGUAUCACAAGUGCUUAUCCUGUGGAAUGCGUCCUAGCUGGAUCCUAUCCGAGGAAGAGAGAAUCCGUAGGUUCCAUGGUAGAACCAAGGGGAAAGGAAAAGAACAGGGAGAUGGGUCGGAUAAUUCUGGACGUAAUACUCCACAAAGCUCCAGUAGUCCAAAAACCACAUCUCCAACUCCUCCUAGUAAUCUUUACUCUUCACUUACCAUGGUUCCACAGAUCUCCUCAUUCCAACCAACCUUAACCCCGUCCCGAUUCUCCGGAGUAGAUUCGUCCCGUUUCUCCGGGUAUGGAGUAGAGCAGAUGUCCCCUGGAGAUAGGUUCAAAAUACUUCAAUAUGCUGAGAUAAUGAAAAGAUGUUGCACAGGUCGAGAAGAUGACCUUGAGUCGGUUCUGCUGACAGAUGUUCUCCAGACUGCUCUUCAAGGAACCCAGCUCUCCAGGCAUACUGCUGAAAGGCUGAGCACUAUCCUGGACACUAGAACUAGAGUUAGCUUAUCCCUACUCCAGGAAUUCCAGAGUUUGAGUGAAAGUGAUCAGACGAGUAUCUUGAAAUACAAUCUUCCCUUAAUUCAUCGACUCCGGCAAUCCGUCCUCCUCUCAACACCAAACCUUACACUCAGGGAGUUAGUUGGUUUGCUGGUUGGAGAAGAAAAACUGACUGAAGCUGAAAAAUAUUUGCCGUUUGAUCUUUCUAAAAAAACACAGAGUCCAAAUGGCUUGGAUUACCGAGGUGUACACACUACCUGGAUAAAUGAUCAGGAGAAGGAUGAGGAGUCCCACACUAAGCUUAUUUAUAGGAUAUCUCAGAUUGUUGAUUGCACUGACAUGGUUUCAAUGGUUCUUCUCGUCCUGAUUAUUGCAUUUAAUACGGAUUUCAUAGAACUAGAGAACAGAGAACAGGUUGAGAAGAUCCAAUUGAAGUUUGUGAUACUGCUCCAGCAGUACAUAAGCACGACUGGUGCCAGGCCAAGUCAGACUCAGCCCCUCAACCUUGCCAAACCAAAUAAAGAUGUAAUGGCGGGAAAUGAAGAUGUCCAAGAAGAUCGUAUGGAACAAGGAAACUCGCUAUUCGUCAAAUUUCUAAUGAUUCCUUCCCUUCUUAGAGAGAUUCUAGAAAUAACUAAGGAAAGACUUCUGAUUUAAAUCCGUUUUUUCAAUAUUUUAGAAAUUAAAUUUUUAUAUUCUUUUGCUUAAUGUCGUCGGUAUAUGCUUCUAUAUUAAUCCUUUGCAGUUAUUUAAAAUUUAAACUUUCAACCAGUAUUUGAUCAAUUUUAGAAAGUUUGCGCAAUCUGGAUAUUGUAUAUUUGUUUAUUACAAUAUUACAAUGAUACAUAUAACUGGAUAUUAGAAUAUUACUAUAAACUUUGUGAUCGAUGUUACAUUCUCUUUAUACAUAAGCUCGGUGUCAACAAUAUUUAGAAAUUAAAUACAGCAUUAUUACUUUUAUUA
rnacentral:misc_RNA from 1 species